AUGCAGCUCGACCCAGGCAAGCCCUGGACCCUCAACACGGGCGACAGCAACACCACGCGCCUGUGGGCGCACACGGGCUGCUCCUUCGACGGCAAUGGCACCGGGACCUGCCAGACGGGCGACUGCGGCGGCCUGCUCGCCUGCAAAGCCAAUGGCCGGCCGCCCAACACCAUCGCGGAGUUUCGGCUCGGCGGCUUCAGCAGCCAGGAUUUCUUCGACAUCUCCUCUGUCGAGGGCUUCAACGUGCCCAUGGACAACCUGCCGGUGCCGGCCAAGGGCGGGCCAGGGUGCAGCAAGGGGCCGCGUUGCGGAGCCAACAUAACGGCGCAGUGCCCGACCAGUCUGAAGGCGCCGGGGGGUUGUAACAGCCCGUGCACGGUGUUCAAGCAGGAUAGGUACUGCUGUACCGGGACUGUGGCAAGCAACUGCAGCACCACGGACUACUCCGACUUCUUCAAGAAGAUGUGCCCAGAUGCCUACAGCUACCCCAUGGAUGAUGCCACCAGCACUUUCAGUUGCCCAGCCGGCACCAAAUACAAGGUAGUCUUUUGUCCCCUGACCAAUCAAGCAAUACCGCCGAGUCCUCUGCCUGCACCCCCGGCUGUGGUAACACCUAGUGGGCCAACAACCAUGAAACCAAAAUUCUCCACUGUAAGAACAGUAGUUGCAAUUUUAGCUCCUAUAGGCGGCUUCAUCUUUCUGUUCCUCGUCACUUUCUAUUUUUGUAAACGAAGAACCCAACAACGGCGUGAGAUGGAGGAAGAGGAAGAGGAAGAGUUUGGGGAGCUACAAGGAACACCAAUGAGGUUCACAUUUGAACAGCUAAAGGCAGCAACCGAGCAAUUCGCAGACAAGCUCGGGGAAGGAGGAUUUGGGUCUGUUUUCAAGGGGCAAUUUGGUGAUGAAAGGAUUGCAGUAAAACGUCUGGAUCGAUCUGGUCAGGGCAAAAGAGAAUUUUCAGCAGAGGUUCAGACAAUUGGCAGCAUUCAUCAUAUUAAUCUGGUGAGAUUGAUUGGUUUCUGUCCAGAAAAAUCCCAUAGGCUCUUGGUAUAUGAGUACAUGCCCAAAGGAUCCUUGGACAGAUGGAUCUAUUGUCGACAUGACAAGGUUGCUUCUCCUCUGGAUUGGAGCACGCGGUGCAAGAUAAUAACUCACAUAGCUAAGGGCCUCUCUUAUCUUCAUGAGGAGUGCACAAAACGAAUCGCUCAUUUGGAUGUCAAACCACAAAACAUCCUCUUAGAUGAUGACUUCAAUGCUAAACUUUCUGAUUUUGGACUAUGCAAACUCAUAGACAGGGAUAUGAGCCAAGUGGUUACCAGAAUGAGGGGCACACCUGGAUAUUUAGCUCCUGAAUGGUUGACAUCACAGAUCACCGAAAAGGCAGAUAUCUACAGCUUUGGCGUCGUGGUCAUGGAAAUCAUCAGUGGAAGAAAGAACCUCGACACUUCCCAGUCAGAAGAGAGCAUCCAUCUCAUCACCCUAUUGGAGGAAAAGAUUGAUUCCAAAAAAAGGCCUAAAAUGUCUGAGGUGGUAAAAGUAUUGGAAGGUACCAUGACUGCAGACCUCAACAUAGAACAUAACUUUGUUGUAACAACUCCAGCAAAUUUUGGUAGCACAGGAAAUCUGAGCUCUUCAGCUCCACCUCUAGCCUCAGAUGUAUCAGGCCCCAGGUAA
rnacentral:rRNA from 1 species